CAUUUCUACAACCUUGACCAAAUUCCUAAGAAAAGGUGAGGAACUAAAAUAUACAAAGGUUAAAGAAAUUUUCCAAAGUCACAAGGGUAUUUAAUGAUAAAUCUGAGAUUCAUACGCUAGAAACAUGAUGUUGGAUCUUCAUUAUUAACUACUGUAUAAAGACUCCUCCAAUCCUGCAUCCCAUUUUAUGCAGAGGUUAACCCGAAGACUCUGAGAGUGUGCAGCUACAGAUUGAUGCCUUGAGAUAGUGUAUAAAACAGCUGGGGGUAAGAGGAAUGGACUAGGUGACAGCACACAAAUCAAG
ensembl:lncRNA